rnacentral:rRNA from 1 species
UACGUAGGGUGCAAGCGUUAAUCGGAAUUACUGGGCGUAAAGCGUGCGCAGGCGGUCGUGCAAGACAGGUGUGAAAUCCCCGGGCUUAACCUGGGAACUGCACUUGUGACUGCACAGCUGGAGUACGGCAGAGGGGGAUGGAAUUCCGCAUGUAGCAGUGAAAUGCGUAGAUAUGCGGAGGAACACCGAUGGCGAAGGCAGUCCCCUGGGCCUGUACUGACGCUCAUGCACGAAAGCGUGGGGAGCAAACAGG